rnacentral:rRNA from 1 species
UACGAAGGGUGCAAGCGUUAAUCGGAAUUACUGGGCGUAAAGGGUGCGUAGGCGGUUGGUUAAGUCUGUUGUGAAAUCCCCGGGCUCAACCUGGGAAUGGCGAUGGAUACUGGACAGCUAGAGUGUGUCAGAGGAUGGUGGAAUUCCCGGUGUAGCGGUGAAAUGCGUAGAGAUCGGGAGGAACAUCAGUGGCGAAGGCGGCCAUCUGGGACAACACUGACGCUGAAGCACGAAAGCGUGGGGAGCAAACAGG